UAUAUUUGAAAUAUUUUGAACAGAAGCAACCUCAGUCAUGAGAUAACUUUUCUUGAAAACUAGAUUUAUAAAUAAGAGAGCUGCCAAGAAAAUAUAGAUUAAUAAACCAGAUUGAAAUUUAUUAGUGAAUAUUCAAAUGAAGAACGAUUUCGGAAUUUCUUCCUGGGCAUGAGAUUGUUGGUGUGGUAACUCAAGUAGGAAACAAAGUGCAAAACUUCAAAGUAGAAGAUAAGGCAGGAUUGGAAGGUAUAAUAGGCUCAUGUGGCAGCUGUGAUCAGUGCCAAAAUGAGUUGGAAAACUAUUGCCCUAAAAGGAUCCACACCAGCACAAUCUUUGAUGAUGGUGGGGAUAAAAACUAUGGAGGAUUUUCUGUUAUUCGUCGUUAGAUCUGGUCACAUAUUUGCUUGGGUUGCAAAACUUUCUACCAUCUUUGUGUUUUGAGGUAAG